UGUUUAGUAGCAUAUGUGCUUGGAAGU
rnacentral:piRNA from 1 species